rnacentral:misc_RNA from 1 species
GAUGAAGAACGUAGCGAAACGCGAUAUGUAAUGUGAAUUACAGAAUUCAGUGAAUCAUCGAAUCUUUGAACGCACAUGGCGCCUUCCAGUAUCCUGGGAGGCAUGCCUGUCCGAGCGUCGUUUCGACCCUCGAGCCCCCGUGGCCCGGCGUUGGGGAUCUGCCCAGGCAGUCCCCGAAAACCAGUGGCGGACCCGUUACAGGCCCUUCCCUUGCGUAGUAGCAUUCGCCUCGCAUCGGGAGCCGGCGGGCUUCCAGCCUCUAAACCCCCAUCAAGUCCGCCCCGGCGGCACCAAGGUUGACCUCGGAUCAGGUAGGAAUACCCGCUGAACUUAAGCAUAUCAAUAAGCGGAGGA